rnacentral:lncRNA from 1 species
UUUUCUUGAUCUUCUUCUUCUUCCCUUCUCUAGCCUUUCUCCCUCGCCACAUGCUGCUGCUAUAACCUUGAAACUAGCAAGGAAGAGGAUGCCCAACACCUUGGAUGUGGGAGACUUGGGACGUCCCAAAGGUUGGGGUGUGUGGGAUGCCCAAGGGGAGAAGAGAAAAGGAGAGGAAGAGAGGGCAUGGGGAGACCUUCUAGGCAUGAGGGCCUACUGGUUUGGAUGCUC